rnacentral:rRNA from 1 species
GACGAACGCUGGCGGCGUGCCUAACACAUGCAAGUCGAACGGAACUGUUUUGACAGAUUUCUUCGGAAUGAAUUUGAUUUAGUUUAGUGGCGGACGGGUGAGUAACGCGUGAGUAACCUGCCUUCAAGAGGGGAAUAACAUUCUGAAAAGAAUGCUAAUACCGCAUGACAUCUCGGAACCACAUGGUUUUGAUAUCAAAGAUUUUAUCGCUUGAAGAUGGACUCGCGUCCGAUUAGUUAGUUGGUGAGGUAACGGCUCACCAAGACCGCGAUCGGUAGCCGGACUGAGAGGUUGAACGGCCACAUUGGGACUGAGACACGGCCCAGACUCCUACGGGAGGCAGCAGUGGGGGAUAUUGCGCAAUGGGGGCAACCCUGAAGCAGCAACGCCGCGUGAAGGAUGAAGGUUUUCGGAUUGUAAACUUCUUUUAUUAAGGACGAAAAAUGACGGUACUUAAUGAAUAAGCUCCGGCUAACUACGU